UUUUCCAUACAACGAUUUACUGUUGCAUCAUCCUGGGAAGGAUCUGCAGUAAUGUUUGUGAAGGAGAUUGGAACCAGCCAGAAAUAAGGCAGUUGGAAAAUAAUUCUCAAGUUGGACACUUCCUCUGUGAUUUCAAGGACAUCUCGUCUGUAAAGAAAACACUGGAGAAAUGGCACUAUAUCUAAUCACUUAUUUUAUGCCCCAUGGGAAGGGAGGAAACAGAAAUAACAACACCAAAACCUCAGUAAUGGAUUCUCUAGGCUCUGGGUCUCCAAAGGUUUGGAGGCUUAUUUGUGGCAGAACCAGGGAGCUAGGAAAUACGUAUUCCAUGUGAGCCCACAAACUGUGGAGUCAGCACGCUUGGGCUUUGCUGCUUCUUCCCUUGUCUGGGAUACUCUUCUUUUAUGACUGCGGCACACAAAAUGCCAACAACAGGGAAACUGAGGCACAUUUUCUCCAACCAAGAAAAUAAAGCAGAGGUCCCAAGUUAAACUAGUUGGAAAGAAAAUGCGGUGGGUAUAUGAGGUAGGACUAGGUUUUAUCACAUCAUUCAACCAUCCAUUUAAUUCAGACUGGGAGAGACUAAGGUUUUGUACUUAACUGAGAAAAGGGGUUUAAGAAAAUGGAAAAUA